UGGGGAAUUUUGCACAAUGGGGGCAACCCUGAUGCAGCGACGCCGCGUGAUUUAGAAGGCCUUCGGGUUGUAAAAAUCUUUUGUAUGGGAAGAAAAUGACAGUACCAUACGAAUAAGGACCGGCUAAUUACGUGCCAGCAGCCGCGGUAAUACGUAAGGUCCGAGCGUUGUCCGGAAUCAUUGGGCGUAAAGGGUACGUAGGCGGAUAAGCAAGUUAGAAGUUAAAACCUAUAGCUCAACUAUAGUAAGCUUUUAAAACUGCUCAUCUUGAGGUAUGGAAGGGAAAGUGGAAUUCCUAGUGUAGCGGUGAAAUGCGCAGAUAUUAGGAGGAAUACCGGUGGCGAAGGCGACUUUCUGGCCAUAAACUGACGCUGAGGUACGAAAGCGUGGGUAGCAAACAGG
rnacentral:rRNA from 1 species